rnacentral:rRNA from 1 species
GAUUAACGCUGGCGGCGUGCCUAACACAUGCAAGUCGAACGAGGUAGCAAUACCUAGUGGCAGACGGGUGAGUAACGCGUGGUCAACCUACCGUUGAGUGGGGGAUAACUAGCCGAAAGGUUAGCUAAUACCGCAUACGUCUCCGAGUGGCAUCACUUGGCGAUAAAAGGAGCAAUCCGCUCGAUGACGGGACCGCGUCCCAUUAGCUAGAUGGUGGGGUAACGGCCUACCAUGGCACCGAUGGGUAGCUGGUUUGAGAGAGCGACCAGCCACACUGGGACUGAGAAACGGCCCAGACUCCUACGGGAGGCAGCAGUGAGGAAUUUUCCGCAAUGGGCGCAAGCCUGACGGAGCGACGCCGCGUGUGGGAAGAAGGCC